rnacentral:rRNA from 1 species
UGACUUAGUGGCGGACGGGUGAGUAACACGUGAGCAACCUGCCUUUCAGAGGGGGAUAACGGCUGGAAACGGUCGCUAAUACCGCAUGACGUGUUCGGAUGGCAUCAUCUGAACAUCAAAGAUUUAUCGCUGAAAGAUGGGCUCGCGUCUGAUUAGAUAGUUGGUGGGGUAACGGCCUACCAAGUCGACGAUCAGUAGCCGGACUGAGAGGUUGAACGGCCACAUUGGGACUGAGAUACGGCCCAGACUCCUACGGGAGGCAGCAGUGGGGAAUAUUGCACAAUGGGGGAAACCCUGAUGCAGCAACGCCGCGUGAAGGAUGACGGUUUUCGGAUUGUAAACUUCUUUUCUUAGUGACGAAGACAGUGACGGUAGCUAAGGAAUAAGCAUCGGCUAACUACGUGCCAGCAGCCGCGGUAAUACGUAGGAUGCAAGCGUUAUCCGGAUUUACUGGGUGUAAAGGGAGCGCAGGCGGGACUGCAAGUUGGAUGUGAAAUACCGUGGCUUAACCACGGAACUGCAUCCAAAACUGUAGUUCUUGAGUGAAGUAGAGGCAAGCGGAAUUCCGAGUGUAGCGGUGAAAUGCGUAGAUAUUCGGAGGAACACCAGUGGCGAAGGCGGCUUGCUGGGCUUUAACUGACGCUGAGGCUCGAAAGUGUGGGGAGCAAACAGG